rnacentral:rRNA from 1 species
CCUACGGGAGGCAGCAGUGGGGAAUAUUGGACAAUGGGGGCAACCCUGAUCCAGCCAUGCCGCGUGUGUGAAGAAGGCCCUCGGGUUGUAAAGCACUUUCAGUGAGGAAGAACGCCUGGUGGUUAAUACCCAUCAGGAAAGACAUCACUCACAGAAGAAGCACCGGCUAACUCCGUGCCAGCAGCCGCGGUAAUACGGAGGGUGCGAGCGUUAAUCGGAAUUACUGGGCGUAAAGCGCGCGUAGGUGGCUUGAUAAGCCGGUUGUGAAAGCCCCGGGCUCAACCUGGGAACGGCAUCCGGAACUGUCAAGCUAGAGGGCAGGAGAGGAAGGUAGAAUUCCCGGUGUAGCGGUGAAAUGCGUAGAGAUCGGGAGGAAUACCAGUGGCGAAGGCGGCCUUCUGGACUGACACUGACACUGAGGUGCGAAAGCGUGGGUAGCAAACAGGAUUAGAUACCCUUGUAGUC